UUGGUUUCUGUUAUUUCUAAUUAUCAUGCUAAUAAUAAUCCAUUGUCCUAGUCUCUAGGAGUUAGUUUUUCUGUUUUGAUGUUAACAGAUCAUAGCAUGAUUUCAUGCUAUAAGUUUGGAAUAUUGUUAUUCUAUUUUUCAAUAAAUAUGUGUAACGAUUGCAUGGAAUGUAUGCAAUCAGAAUUAUUCAUUCCUUUCAAAUAAAUUC
rnacentral:lncRNA from 1 species